CCUACGGGGGGCUGCAGUGGGGAAUAUUGGACAAUGGGGGGAACCCUGAUCCAGCCAUGCCGCGUGUGUGAAGAAGGCCCUCGGGUUGUAAAGCACUUUCAGUGAGGAAGAACGCCUGGUGGUUAAUACCCAUCAGGAAAGACAUCACUCACAGAAGAAGCACCGGCUAACUCCGUGCCAGCAGCCGCGGUAAUACGGAGGGUGCGAGCGUUAAUCGGAAUUACUGGGCGUAAAGCGCGCGUAGGUGGCUUGAUAAGCCGGUUGUGAAAGCCCCGGGCUCAACCUGGGAACGGCAUCCGGAACUGUCAAGCUAGAGUGCAGGAGAGGAAGGUAGAAUUCCCGGUGUAGCGGUGAAAUGCGUAGGGAUCGGGAGGAAUACCAGUGGCGAAGGCGGCCUUCUGGACUGACACUGACACUGAGGUGCGAAAGCGUGGGUAGCAAACAGGAUUAGAUACCCCAGUAGUC
rnacentral:rRNA from 1 species